ACCUAUACAACUUUCAGCAACGGAUCUCUUGGCUCUCGCAUCGAUGAAGAACGCAGCGAAAUGCGAUAAGUAAUGUGAAUUGCAGAAUUCAGUGAAUCAUCGAAUCUUUGAACGCACCUUGCGCUCCUUGGUAUUCCGAGGAGCAUGCCUGUUUGAGUGUCAUUAAAUUCUCAACCUCACCAACUU
rnacentral:rRNA from 10 species